rfam:Verticillium dahliae VdLs.17 supercont1.11 genomic scaffold, whole genome shotgun sequence.
CCGUCUCUUGCCAUGCUCGGUCAGUUUAGCCCCCAGCUUCUGAUCUUGAGCCGGAUACACCCUGUCAACCUCCCUAGGGAGAUUGAUGGGGUUGUACGAGACGAGAAUAUCUUCAGGCAACUAUCUUUGAGUGCGGAACCUUUCUCUUCCAACAUGGAGGAUUUCGCAAUUAAUCAGUUGGCACAUCC